CCAAUAGCGUAUAUUAAAGUUGUUGUGGUUAAAAAGCUCGUAGUUGAACCUUGGGCCUGGCUGGCCGGUCCGCCUCACCGCGUGUACUGGUCCGGCCGGGCCUUUCCCUCUGUGGAACCUCAUGCCCUUCACUGGGCGUGACGGGGAAACAGGACUUUUACUGUGAAAAAAUUAGAGUGCUCCAGGCAGGCCUAUGCUCGAAUACAUUAGCAUGGAAUAAUGAAAUGGGACGUGCGGUUCUAUUUUGUUGGUUUCUAGGACCGCCGUAAUGAUUAAUAGGGACAGUCGGGGGCAUCAGUAUUCAAUUGUCAGAGGUGAAAUUCUUGGAUUUAUUGAAGACUAACUACUGCGAAAGCAUUUGCCAAGGAUGUUUUCAUUAAUCAGGAACGAAAGUUAGGGGAUCGAAGACGAUCAGAUACCGUCGUAGUCUUAACCAUAAACUAUGCCAACUAGCGAUUAGCUGCUGUUAAUCAAACGACACAGCUAGCAGCUUCCG
rnacentral:misc_RNA from 1 species